CCGCUAAGACCCUUUCAUUAUCUGAAAGUGAUGUUUGGGAGGUUCAUUAUGACUGCUACAUGAAGUCUUCAAGCAGUAAUAUAUCUUCCUCGCGGAUAUUACCUGCAAUGAUCUGUUCAGAAGAUGGGAUCCUUGCCGUUGUUGAACAAGGUGAGGAGCCCCUCGAACUCUUGGCUGAACCAUGUGCAAUCAACAGCUUUGACAUCAAUUGUCAAAACCCAUCGGAUGUGAUAUGUAGUUUGGAGUGGGAGUCCAUAGCCAUAUUGUCAAGGCCAUAAUUGGGAAUAGAGAACUCAAGCCGAUGUUUCUUCGAAUGUGAUUUUUCCCAGCGAUUACUAGGGCACAGCUAUGCAUAGUCAUGCCGCUGCACUACUUGGUGGAGCA
rnacentral:misc_RNA from 1 species